UGGGGAAUAUUGGGCAAUGGAGGAAACUCUUACCCAGCAAUGCCGCGUGAGUGAUGAAGGUCUUCGGAUUGUAAAGCUCUUUAAUUGGGGACGAAUAAAUGACGGUACCCAAGGAAUAAGCCCCGGCUAACUAUGUGCCAGCAGCCGCGGUAAUACAUAGGGGGCAAGCGUUGUCCGGAAUGACUGGGCGUAAAGGGUGUGUAGGUGGUUGUAUAAGUUGGAAGUGAAAUACCUAGAGCUUAACUCAGGUGCUGCUUCCAAGACUGUAUGACUUGAGUGCAGGAGAGAAAAAUGGAAUUCCUAGUGUAGCGGUGGAAUGCGUAGAUAUUAGGAGGAACACCAGUGGCGAAAGCGAUUUUUUGGACUGUAACUGACACUGAGGCACGAAAGCGUGGGGAGCAAACA
rnacentral:rRNA from 1 species